UGCAGGGGCUUUCUUCCCUGGUGAAGUCCUAGUAGAAGUCCUGGCAGCCUUCACAGGCUUAGCCUUGGGCUUUGCAACAGGCUUAGCAGCUUUGGGCUUGGCUGCAGCUGGCUUGGGCUUAGCGGCUGGCUUAGUGGCCUUCGGCUUGGCAGCUGCAGCCUUAGGCUUGGGAGCAGCCUUGGGCUUUGCGGCAGGUUUGGACUUGGCUGGAGCCUUGGCCUUAGGCUUGGCAGCAGGUUUUGCCUUAGCAGGUGCCUUUGACUUAGCAGUCUUGGCAUCUUUGGCCUUGGCAGCAGGCUUGGGCUUGGGCUUAGGCUUGGGCUUAGCAGCUGCUGGCUUCUUCUUGGCAGGGGAAGAAGGGGCAGGCCUGGUAGGUGGAAGCUUGAAGGAGCCUUUGACUUUGACCAGCUUUCCAGCAGCAACAAGCUUCUUCAAGUGGUAUAGAAGAAGCUUCCUGAAGUUUGAGGGAAGCUGUUUGUGCUUCUCCUCAACGAACUUCGCAAUGGCAUAUUGA
rnacentral:lncRNA from 1 species